GGAGUUGUGACUCCGUGGUAGAGUGCUUACCUAGCAUGUAUGAGGCACUGGGUUCGAUUCUCAGCACCA
rnacentral:tRNA from 1 species